rnacentral:rRNA from 1 species
UCGAGAGUUUGAUCCUGGCUCAGAACGAACGCUGGCGGCAGGCUUAACACAUGCAAGUCGAACGCCCCGCAAGGGGAGUGGCAGACGGGUGAGUAACGCGUGGGAACAUACCCUUUCCUGCGGAAUAGCUCCGGGAAACUGGAAUUAAUACCGCAUACGCCCUACGGGGGAAAGAUUUAUCGGGGAAGGAUUGGCCCGCGUUGGAUUAGCUAGUUGGUGGGGUAAAGGCCUACCAAGGCGACGAUCCAUAGCUGGUCUGAGAGGAUGAUCAGCCACAUUGGGACUGAGACACGGCCCAAACUCCUACGGGAGGCAGCAGUGGGGAAUAUUGGACAAUGGGCGCAAGCCUGAUCCAGCCAUGCCGCGUGAGUGAUGAAGGCCUUAGGGUUGUAAAGCUCUUUCACCGAUGAAGAUAAUGACGGUAGUCGGAGAAGAAGCCCCGGCUAACUUCGUGCCAGCAGCCGCGGUAAUACGAAGGGGGCUAGCGUUGUUCGGAAUUACUGGGCGUAAAGCGCACGUAGGCGGAUAUUUAAGUCAGGGGUGAAAUCCCGCAGCUCAACUGCGGAACUGCCUUUGAUACUGGGUAUCUUGAGUAUGGAAGAGGUAAGUGGAAUUCCGAGUGUAGAGGUGAAAUUCGUAGAUAUUCGGAGGAACACCAGUGGCGAAGCGGCUUACUGGUCCAUUACUGACGCUGAGGUGCGAAAGCGUGGGGAGC